UAUUGGACAAUGGGCGCAAGCCUGAUCCAGCAAUACCGCGUGUGUGAAGAAGGCCUUAGGGUUGUAAAGCACUUUCAAUUGGGUGGAAAACCUGCCGGUCAAUACCCGGUAGCUUGACAUUACCUUUAGAAGAAGCACCGGCUAACUCCGUGCCAGCAGCCGCGGUAAUACGGAGGGUGCGAGCGUUAAUCGGAAUUACUGGGCGUAAAGCGUGCGUAGGCGGUUCGUUAAGUCAGAUGUGAAAGCCCUGGGCUCAACCUGGGAACUGCAUUUGAAACUGGCGGACUAGAGUUUAGUAGAGGGGAGUGGAAUUUCAGGUGUAGCGGUGAAAUGCGUAGAUAUUUGAAGGAACACCAGUGGCGAAGGCGACUCCCUGGACUAGAACUGACGCUGAGUACGAAA
rnacentral:rRNA from 1 species